AUUCCGGCGAGCACCGGCAAGGCGCUAUCGGAUCUUGCACCAUCGUCGUCACCUUCGAUUUCCAGAAAAUGAAACUGAUCAAAAAAUUAUAGAUCGAAUGAAAAUGAGAGAGGAGCAGGUGUCGGCGGAUGUCUGAUCGCUGCUUGAUGAUUGUGAUCGGAAAGGUGAGAGGAGGAUCGCGACGAUGAUGAAGGUGCACGGCGAGGCGAGGCGAGGCAAGGCAACCCAGGCAUCGACAACGUCGUCUAGGGCUCAGUUUGGUGUUGACUCCUUCAAGCCUCCUGAUUUUCAAGCCACCUGAUUCUCAUGAAGGUACAAAUUAUUUUAAAAAUCUCGAUUUUGAUUGCUGAAUUUUCACGCAACGGCUGUUUGGAUGAUGGCGAUGAGUCUUCGAUGGUGAGAUUAGGCAUAGGGAAGAGCGAGAGUACUAAUUCCAGAGAUCAAAGCUUUGUUACACGUUCAAAACCCAGAAUUAUGUAUUGUUACAGUUUUUGGAUUAGGUAGAAACUCAUUUGUUGAUAUUUGUCAAUUUGAUAGCUUUGGUUUGAUUUUGGUAAUUCCUAUGGAUUUUACGGCUUACUCUAGUGAAUGAUGCUCAUGGAUACAAGUUAUAUUGAUCGAUUAUGAUAUGUGCAAUACGUGCAAGGUUGAGCAUUGCAAGCUUUCGACAUUGUAAAUUUAUAGUUGUUUUAAUGUUUCA